AUAAUGCAGUCGAGCGGACUUGACGGAAGCUUGCUUCCGUUCAAGUUAGCGGCGGACGGGUGAGUAACACGUGGGUAACCUGCCUGUAAGACUGGGAUAACUCCGGGAAACCGGGGCUAAUACCGGAUAUUCUUUUUCUUCGCAUGAAGAAGAAUGGAAAGGCGGCUUUUAGCUGUCACUUACAGAUGGACCCGCGGCGCAUUAGCUAGUUGGUGAGGUAACGGCUCACCAAGGCAACGAUGCGUAGCCGACCUGAGAGGGUGAUCGGCCACACUGGGACUGAGACACGGCCCAGACUCCUACGGGAGGCAGCAGUAGGGAAUCUUCCGCAAUGGACGAAAGUCUGACGGAGCAACGCCGCGUGAGUGAAGAAGGUUUUCGGAUCGUAAAGCUCUGUUGUCAGGGAAACUACGUGCCAGCAGCCGCGGUAAUACGUAGGUGGCAAGCGUUGUCCGGAAUUAUUGGGCGUAAAGCGCGCGCAGGCGGCUUCUUAAGUCUGAUGUGAAAGCCCACGGCUCAACCGUGGAGGGUCAUUGGAAACUGGGAGGCUUGAGUGCAGAAGAGGAGAGCGGAAUUCCACGUGUAGCGGUGAAAUGCGUAGAGAUGUGGAGGAACACCAGUGGCGAAGGCGGCUCUCUGGUCUGUAACUGACGCUGAGGCGCGAAAGCGUGGGGAGCGAACAGGAUUAGAUACCCUGGUAGUCCACGCCGUAAACGA
rnacentral:rRNA from 1 species